UACGGAGGGUGCAAGCGUUAUCCGGAUUCACUGGGUUUAAAGGGUGCGUAGGUGGAAUGGUAAGUCAGUGGUGAAAUCUCCAAGCUUAACUUGGAACUGCCGUUGAUACUAUCAUUCUUGAAUAUCGUGGAGGUUGAGCGGAAUAUGUCAUGUAGCGGUGAAAUGACUUAGAUAUGACAUAGAACACCAAUUGCGAAAGGCAGCUUACUACCCGAACUAUUGACACUGAGGCACGAAAGCGUGGGGAUCAAACAGG
rnacentral:rRNA from 1 species